rnacentral:rRNA from 1 species
UGGGGAAUUUUGGACAAUGGGGGAAACCCUGAUCCAGCCAUCCCGCGUGUGCGAUGAAGGCCUUCGGGUUGUAAAGCACUUUUGGCAGGAAAGAAACGUCGCGGGUUAAUACCCCGCGAAACUGACGGUACCUGCAGAAUAAGCACCGGCUAACUACGUGCCAGCAGCCGCGGUAAUACGUAGGGUGCAAGCGUUAAUCGGAAUUACUGGGCGUAAAGCGUGCGCAGGCGGUUCGGAAAGAAAGAUGUGAAAUCCCAGAGCUUAACUUUGGAACUGCAUUUUUUAACUACCGGGCUAGAGUGUGUCAGAGGGAGGUGGAAUUCCGCGUGUAGCAGUGAAAUGCGUAGAUAUGCGGAGGAACACCGAUGGCGAAGGCAGCCUCCUGGGAUAACACUGACGCUCAUGCACGAAAGCGUGGGGAGCAACAGGAUUAGAUACCCUGGUAGUCCACGCCCUAAACGAUGUCAACUAGCUGUUGGGGCCUUCGGGCCUUGGUAGCGCAGCUAACGCGUGAAGUUGACCGCCUGGGGAGUACGGUCGC